rnacentral:lncRNA from 1 species
ACUUGGCCAUGGGUUGCCCCUCUCUGGAGUACCUUAUACUCUCAAAGAAUGAUUUGCAUGGCCAAAUGUUUCCAAGGGUUUCUAAUCUCCCCAGUUUGAGACAUUUGGAGUUGGAUGACAAUCACUUCUCUGGAAAAAUCCCAGACCUGUCCAACAGUUCUGGAUUGGAGAGAUUAGAUGUUAGUCACAACUCCAUAUCCGGUAAGCUGCCGGGGUGGAUUGGAAAUAUGUCAAAUUUGGCUGCACUAGUCAUGCCCAACAAUAGUCUUGAAGGACCCAUUCCUGUUGAAUUUUGCUCCCUUGAUGCCCUUGAACUCCUAGACCUUUCAAACAACAGUCUCUCCGGCUCCCUUCCAUCCUGCUUUAGUCCAUCCUCAUUAAUUCAUGUACACUUGCAGGAAAAUCAUCUCACAGGACCUCUGACUAAGGCUUUCACUAGAAGCAUGCAUUUGGCAACUUUAGACAUUAGAAAUAACAAUUUAUCUGGUGGCAUCCCAGAUUGGAUUUCCAUGUUCUCAGGCUUAAGCAUUCUCCUCUUGAAAGGAAACCAUUUUCAGGGAAAAAUUCCCUAUCAGUUAUGCCAAUUGUCCAAGAUAACCAUAUUGGAUCUUUCUUACAACAGUCUCUCUGGUCAUAUUCCUUCUUGCUUAAACAAAAUCCGAUUCAGGACUGGAUUUCGAUCUGGGAAAUUUUCCAUCAUAUCAUAUUUCCAAAGCUCAGGAUUCUCAUCAUAUCUGUAUCAUAGCCAGCACAUUGAAUUAUCUCAAGUAAAUGUCAACAGCUACCCCAUAGCUUAUGAUAAGGCCAUGGCCGAGUUCACGACGAAGAACAGGACCGACUUCUACAAGGGAAACUUUCUAUACUCCAUGACUGGGAUCGAUCUCUCUUCCAACAAGUUGACAGGUGCAAUACCUCCUGAAAUUGGAAACUUGAGCCAGGUUCACGCAUUGAAUCUUUCUCACAACAUUUUAACUGGGCCAAUCCCAGCAGCCUUCUCAGGUCUGAAGAGCAUAGAGAGCUUGGACCUCUCCUACAACAACCUGACUGGUACCAUCCCUGGGGAACUCACUGAGCUAACCAACUUGGCAGUUUUCAGUGUGGCUUACAACAACUUAAGUGGUAAAAUACCAGAAAUGACAGCCCAGUUUGGGACAUUCUUGGAAAACAGUUAUGUGGGAAAUCCUUAUCUUUGUGGGUCACUGUUGAGGAAAAACUGCAGCAGAGCUGAGGAAGAAGCAGAAAUUGAGGAAGGAGAAAAAGGUUUGACAGAUAGGGACAUUUUCUAUGUGUGCUUUGGGGCGUCUUAUGUAGUAGUAUUAUUAGGAGUUGCUGCUGUUCUCUACAUCAAUGGGGGUUGGAGAAAGAAAUGGUUUCAUGUCAUUGAUGUUGUCGCCUCGCGUAUCCGAUGGUCCACGUUGCUGCUAUAUGGAUGGACACGUGAUUCUCAACACACAAGGGGUUCUUGAUUCAGUGGUUGCACCUGCAAAAGGCAUCUGGACAGGGUGUCCGGACGCACCCUCCGAUGGUUUUAUUAGCCAUGGUGAGAAAGAGAUAUAUAAAUCAGUUGGCUUUUUUCUAGGUAUCAAGAGGUUACCAGGAGCCCCUUUCUUCUUCGUGCGAAGGUAUAUAUAUCCAGCUUCAGGGGUACUGUUCCUCUCAUUAAUGGUGAGGAGAUCUUUUCUGUUGUGAUGAUGACAAUAGGUGUUAGUAGGAGCACUAUCAUCCUAUGAAUGGCUGUCAGAGACUAUGGUAGGUGAUGCGGCCGUCAGAGAUCGUGGGAAGCGAUUAUGCAGAAUGAUCGUGGGAAGUGACUUGCUGUCACUUCCUCUUGUCUUCUCAUUCUGCAGGUGAUGGGAUGUGGGCCAUGGCUGCUUGUUGUGGUUGCGUGUAAGACUCGCUUUACUUUAAUUGACCAUCCAGAAGAUUUAUAUCCGGAUGGCUCAUGCUGACUAUCCGGAUGUGUUGUGGAGACUAUCCGGAUGUGUACGCUCUGCCAGCGUCGUUUGCUCUUCCUUGGAUAGGAGAAGAUGAAACGUCGUUUGCCUUUCCUUGAGGCGAUCCGGAUAGGAUGUCUACACCAUGCAUAUCCUUAGGGGAAUCCGGAUAAUGAUGGUCCGGCUGAUAAUACGUGCCACGCGUCACUAUGAGCUGCGUGCCACGUGUUUCCCAAGGGGAGGGGUCCCUACAAUUGAUGUAUUGAUCACAUGUUGCUGCAAUUUUGUGAUGCACCUUGUUGGUAAGUUCUCCAGUUAGAAGGGCUUGGGCUUACAGCGGAGGUGUAUUGAAAAAUUUUCUGAUCAUGGAAAAAGAAAUGAAUGUUCAAAAUAUGUCCCAAACAUGAUUGUUGUCCUAUUUAUAGGAAAACAAAUAUUAUCUUAGGAUCUAUAUAUUUAUGAUUAUCGUGGUAUUUAUAGGGAAACAAGUGGAACAACAGAUUGUUUAGUAAAAAAAAGAUAUUUGUAAUCUAGAUUCAAUCCUUUGAUAAACAAAUUUUCCUUACGAUGUUUGAAAGUUUAGUUUUGAAUAUUAUUGUGACACAUCUUUUAAUAAUAUUUGUAGGUAUAAAAAAAAAAAAAAAAAAAAAAGUCCCAAACAUGAUGACUAGAUUUAAUUUAAUUUUCAAUAAGAUUUAUUGUUGUUGAAAAUUUUAGUUUUCAAAUUAUACAAUUUAAGGUAAUAAAACAAAUUUAAAAUAUGAGACGGUUGUUGUAGUUUUAAUUUUUAAUAGCUCAAAUAAAAAAAAUUAGGAUUUGCUUGUUGAUAAGUUUAUUUUCUAUGGUUUUAGUUUGAAGUUGAAGAUAAAAUCAAUAUGAUAGUUUUGAUUGCAUUGAUAGAACAUGAAAUAAUUUAUGAGAAAUUAUCUAAAAGUGCAGGGUGGGGAUGAUUAUCAUAGGAUAAUUUUACCAUUUGAAUGUCAUUUUUUUAUAUUACCGAUUAUAGCAAAUGUUACUAUGACAAAGACUAUGCCUCACUAGUGAAUACCUUAUUUCCCAAGAAAUUGAACAAUGGAAAAACUAUCUAAUAAAGUUUCAACAAUGAAAUUAUAAAGUUUCUUUAAUGCUAUCUAUUUGUUUCUCUCAUUAAAAUCUCUUGUUAUCUCUUUAAUACAUUCAUCAUACACUUGCAAAUUAUGAUAAUGCACCUUGUGUUCAUCUCUUUUUUCUUUUGUAUUUAAGUAUUUAUAGUGCUAGAUUGAGUGUUCUUAAACUCACAUUUAUUCAAUAAGGAUUGAGUGUCGAAACUUCAAGUUGGAAUUUAACUUGAAGAGAGAUUUGUAGCACCCAUUAAAGCCAAUGAAUCCAAUGGUAAAGAUUUAGAAAUUUCAGUAGAAUCCUCAUCCGGAAGGAGUUUGAGAAGACUGAACAUAGGUGAGAAUUAUCGAACCAUUAUAAAAUCCUAAUUUGCAAUCUCUCUAUCUUUAUCUCCGUAAUUAAUAAUUUUAGAAAUGCCCAUUUAUAUUCUAUUGGUAUUAGUAUUCACACAUCACACAAAAUACUAACAUAAUUUCAUCAAUGUAUUGAAAAUUGUUUAAUCAUUUUAUAUAUGAAAAGAAAAUUACAAUUCUCAUAAAUUCAAAUUAGCACUUUAUUUGACUUUAAAUAUGGUUCAUAAUACAAAUAUGUUAGAGAAUAUAGUAUAAUCAUGCAAAACUAUUAGUUUCAUAAAAAAAGUUCAAAAAUUUCUCCAUCAAAUUUAAUUAUAAUGUAUUAUUGUUACAAUAUAUUUUUGUUGUACGUAUAUUUUGUAACAAAAGUGAUAGUAUUAGAGAUAUUUUUUUUUUCACAUUUUAGCAUCAUUCACUCAAUGCAUUAGAAAAAAAAAUUAAAAAUUAAGAAAGAAACAUAAGCACGAAAAUUAAUUAUAUAAUUUUGUAAAAUUAUUUUACACAACCUAAAUGAAAAAUUAAACGUUUCAUCUUCCUUAAACUCGAUAAAAAACAUGAUUCAUCAAUUUAAAAUUAGAAAAAAAUUAUGAAAAAAAAUCAUUGUUAUUGUUACAUAAUCACGAAACCUUACAAUUUGUUUACCUGUAUGUUUUUCUAAGUUCCCCUGAAAUUUCAUAAAAUUCCAUGAAUUACUUCCCCUUCCAACUGAUGUUUAACAUGGGUUUAAAACUUUUAUCUUUCUGGCUACCACAUGUGGGGUGACAAUUUUAACACAACUCAUCAACAUGACUUGAAAAUGAUGGGAAUUAGUGGGUUCGAGUUGAGUAUAAUUGUGUUCAUCUCAUAAUUGUAUUAACCCAUGAAAUCCAUUUAAUAAAUAGUUUGUGUUCAAGUUGGGUUUGUUCAUAAACAUGCAACCAAGUUUGUAGGGUUCAAUUUUUAUUUGUAUCUUUUGAUAAGCAAGCAAAUAAUAAGCAAGUCUGUAGGGUUCAUGUAAAUAUAUUGAAUUAUUAUGCGACAUGAAAACUUUUAAGUUUUAGCUAAUUUAUGUAUUGAUGCUUGGUUGAUCUGUUGUAGACAAAUAUGAUCAAUACCAUAUCUGGGGCAAAGACUAUUACCCUAAUGUAGAGGUUGAAAGCUAUAUCUUAAUUGUAGUCUUCACUUCAGUAUAUUUUUCAACUGAUUUCACUUUGUAGAACUCUCUCAGGCAGUUGUUGAUUCUCUUGUUUACCAACUUGCUAAUGACUUGGCUGUUUCGGUCCCUAUAGGGAGAUUGAUAAGGAGGAAUUCAAGAAAGUUAUGGCUUUGAUGCGAGCUCAUAACAGACAAGGAUCUCUCCACAGGGAUGGACUUCGAUUUGGAUUCAGAACUGUUGGUUCUGUGGAAAAUGGAGGCCUGCUGGAGCACUUCUUUGGUAAAGAUGGAAAGGCAAAACUCCAACAUGAGAAAUUUUUCCAGUUUAUGAGAGAUCUGCAUGAUGAAGUAUGUUCCCCCUCCCCAUAUCUUUAACAUAUCUGGAUAUAAUUGAGUAAUGACAGUUCAAGAAUGAUUCAUUUGAGUUGUAUGCAUCUGAGUUUACCCAAUUUGCUAUUGUUUUAUGCAACCAUUUGAAAAUCUUCUAUUUUUGUUUUCUGAUCUUUUUUUUUUUCUCUCUCUAUUUCUCUUUAAUUUUCCGUGGAUAAUUUUAUCUCUACCUUUCAUGCCCCUCUAAAGACAAUGUUUUAACACCUAGUUGUAUUUUCAUAGCUGCUGAUAUUGGAGUUUGCCCAUUAUGAUUACAAAUUACGAGGAUCCAUUUCAGCUAAGGAUUUUGCCUUAUCCAUGGUAGCUUCUGCCGACUUGAGUCAUUUAAACAGGUUGCUUGAUCGGGUUGAUGGAUUAAACAAGCAGUCUUCUCUAAGUGACAUUCGUAUUACCUUUGAGGAAUUUAAGAGUUUUGCAGAGCUACGUAGAAGAUUGAGACCAUUUGCAUUGGCUCUUUCUAGUUAUGGGAAAGUAAAUGGACUAUUGACAAAGACGGAUUUCCAACGUGCAGCAUCCAAUGUAUGACACUGAUUCCCUUGUUCCUGGUUGUGUAUCUUUCUCCUAUUUUAUGAUAAUGGCUAAUUUCUUGGAUUCUGGUCAAGUAUUUAAAAUUGGGGAAUGUUACUGAAUUACAAGGGGCUUUUCCUUUAGAAAUUAAAUUUGGUGGGAGUUCUGCAUGUCAGUGGCUGCCUCACCAUUGUUUGCAANNNNNNNNNNNNNNNNNNNNNNNNNNNNNNNNNNNNNNNNNNNNNNNNNNNNNNNNNNNNNNNNNNNNNNNNNNNNNNNNNNNNNNNNNNNNNNNNNNNNAUUUCAGGUAUGUGGCAUUUCUCUCAGCAAGUGUGUGGUUGAAAUCAUCUUCCAUGUGUUUGACAUGAACGAUGAUGGAAAAUUAAGCUCAGAGGAGCUUGUGAGAGUUUUACAGAAACGGGAAAGGGACAUUGCUCAACCGAUGGAGUCAGGAAUCAUGGGAUUUUUUUCCUGCUGUUGUAAUCAUUCAAAUUACGGCUCUAUUUCAGGACUUCUUUCUUGAUUAUUUCGUUGGUGCAUAGAUUUUGAUUUUUGCACAAUGAUGCUUCUGAUAACUCGGGGAAUGAGAUCCAGUUGUAAAACUGAGGCUUGCACCAUGACUGGCGAUCUACAGUUCAAGAAUUAGGAAAUGGAGUGAUUGGGGUGGGGCGAUUAACAAGCAGGCUAAUCUUAUGAAUUUGCUGCCAGCUUGUAUUAUGGUGCUGCUUAAAGUCAGUCUGUAUAUCUACAGUGCAGAUAAUUCCUUUAUUGGCUUUUUCCUGCUAACCCAUGUGUGGAUUUUCUGAAGCAACCUUUUUGCUGCUAAACUGAAAAGUUGUACAGUUAUUCAAUACAAAUAGAUUUGUACAUACUCUGUUUCUUUGAAUAAUCUUCUCAAUUUAUUAAACAGUUGACUUGCUUGUGGUCUAUCCUGUCAACAUAUGUAUGUUCCUGUUGGCUCUUCAAUUUCUUCUUCCUACAUCACCACAACCCCCUGCUUUUCUUUAAAUUCUUCAAAUAUUAGGUGAAUGAUGUUACCAUCUAUACACGGGCUCUGCAAGUUGCAUUUUGACCAUUGUUUUCUGUCAACUACUAACCGGUGGACUCUGAUGCCAUGAAGUCAAAGGAGGAGAAAAAACAGAACAAAAAGCACUGAAUUCUUAUUCUUUUAGAAUAGGAAAUACAAUAGGAUUUAUAGAUCGACUUUAGGAUUCAAAAAUCCUUAAACUAAGGAAACCAAAAACCCUCUCCUAAGUCCUAACAACUUGGUUGUGUUAGGAUAUAGACCUCCCAAAACACCAGAUUAAUGAAACGAAUAAAAAUAAUAAUAACAAAAUGGAGCAAACAAAAUCAACACACGAAAUUUACGUGAUUCACCUAAAGCAGGCUAUAUCCACAGAGCUAUUGCAAAUUUUCACUAUAGGGAGAAAAAUAACCACAAGUGUUUACAAACACUCACUUCUCACAAACCCAAAAAAUAAUAAUUCUCCUUUUUCAUAAGAGUUGUACCACUCUUUUUCUUUUGACUGGGGAAUGAAUAGAAUGAGUAGAGGAGGCUUCUAUUUAUAAGCUCCUACCACCACUAGGCUUCCAUGUAGAUCACGCGCUAUUGCCAAAUAUACGAAUGACAAUUAUUUUGAUUUAUCCAUGUCCAUAAUUUCUUUCAGGUUGAUAUCCAACCCUUAUUUAAAUAAAUAACUUCUAAUAUGAUAAGAUUCAAAAACAAACAAAUUAACUUCUAAUCUUAACAAACUUAUGUGACUAGUUCAAAUCAAUAAAUAUUUGAAUAAUUCAAACUUCAAACUUUCCGACAAUCUUACUCUAUUCAAAAUUAGAAAUGUGGAAUUCUAUACCCAGGACAAGAAUUUUCUCGGAUAAUGUAGAACUUCAUUCAAUCCAUAAACUACAUUGGUCCACAGCUGAGACCUUGAUAUGUGACACAUUGCUUUGUAAUCUGUAUGGUGAAGAUUUGGUCAAUAUGUCACCUAGUUCCUUAACUAUAUAUUCCCAGUUUUUCCAGCAUUCUUGAAAACACCCAAGAAUUUUUCUCCAUGUUAAAUACAAUCUUGAACUAUAAGCAAGCAUAUGAACACCACCAUUAUAAUCCAACAUUGCAUAAAAAAGUAGGUGACUAGGAGAAUGGCUAGUGUUGGAAACGUGCCUUAGGUUGCUACAGUUCUGGGCAAACAAAAAAUUGCUGAAUAAUUGGUUAAUAGACCAAGUCUUUAGGAAAUAAUUUCUACAUAUAUAUAUUGGCUUGAUAUUAGGAAUUGGUUAGACAUGGCUUGAAAUUAGCAAAUUCUCUUGACUUUCUGUUAUGUUUCACCUCUAUAUAAAGAGCAAUGCAGUGAAUAAAAAUCUACUUCCAGAUACCAAGUUUUUUUUUCUUUACUGAAAAGGUUUUGUUUUUCCUUUGCUGUCAUAAAAUUUCUGCCCUGUUCUUGUGUCAUAUAUCAACAAUUUGGUAUCAGAGCAAUUCUUCUUGAGGGAUCUAUAAGUUGAGUGAAUCCAGAAAUGGAAACUGAAACAACUUUCUCCCAUGUUGCACCACCGAUUUUUGAUGGUGACAACUAUCAAGCCUGGGCUGUUAGAAUGACAGUCCAUCUUGAAGCAUUAGAUCUUUGGGAAGCUAUAGAGGAAGACUAUGACGUUCCCCCAUUGCCGACGAACCCUACAAUAACUCAGCUUAAGACUCACAAAGGGAGGAAGACCAGGAAGUCCAAAGCUAAAGCCUACUUAUUCUCUGCUGUUUCAAGCACUAUAUUUACAAGAAUCAUGAACCUGGAGUCAGCAAAAUAUAUUUGGGACUACCUCAAAAAGGAAUACCAAGGCAAUGAAAGAACAAAAAAUAUGCAAGUACUCAACUUGAUCAGAGAGUUUGAAAUGCUGAAAAUGAAGGAGACAGAAACCAUUAAAGACUACUUUGACAAGUUGCUGGGCAUAGUAAACAAGGUGAGGUUGCUUGGUAAGGACUUCUUUGAUGAACGAAUUGUGCAAAAAAUUCUUGUAACUUUGCCUGAAAAGUAUGAGUCUAAAAUUUCUUCAUUAAAAGAAUCUAAGGAUUUGUCAAGCAUAUCCUUGGCAGAAUUGGUGAAUGCAUUGCAGGCAUAAGAGCAAAGGAGAAUGUUAAGAAAAAAAGAAUCGAUGGAGGGUGCUCUUCAAGCUAAGGCAAAGAAUUUAGGUGGAGGCAAAGACAAGAAAAACAACAAUAAGAAGAAGAACAACAAGAUUGACAACAAAAAAAAAAACAAGGAUGGAACCUAUCCACCUUGCCCACACUGCAAAAAUACAAAUCACCCACAAAGGAAGUGUUGGUGGAGGCCUGAUGUCAAGUGCAGGAAAUGUGGUCAGAUUGGACACAUGGAGCAGAUUUGCAAGUCACAACAACAUGAAGAGGCAAAAGCUUCUACUGAGCAACAUCAAGAAGAGCAACUUUAUGUUGCAACAUGCUUCACAACAAGUAACAGCUCUAGCGAUUCUUGGUUGAUUGAUAGUGGUUGCACAAACCACAUGACCAAUGACUAAGAGCUCUUUAAGGAGCUUGAUAAAACUAUCAUCUCCAAAGUAAAAAUUGGAAAUGGUGAAUUUAUUUCAGUUAAGGGUAAGGGAACUGUGGUUAUAGAAAGCUUAACAAGUUUGAAGUAUAUUAUUGAUGUUCUAUAUGUGCCUGACAUUGAUCAAAACCUGCUUAGUGUUGGACAGUUGAUUGAAAAAGGUUUCAAAGUCAUAUUUGAAGACAAAUGGUGCAUGAUCAAAGAUGCGAAAGGUAGAGAUGUAUUCAAAGUGAAAAUGAGAGCAAAAAGUUUUACUCUAAAUCUAAUGGAGGAUGAGCAAGUAGCAUUUUCAAGCACUGUAAGCAAUGCAGAAUUAUGGCACAGAAGGCUCAGGCAUUUCCACCAUGUUGGACUUCUAUAUAUGCAGAAACAUAAUUUGGUGAAAGGUGUGCCAUUGAUGGAAGACAAGCUAGCUGAUUGUGUGGCUUGUCAAUAUGGCAAGCAAACUAGAAGAUCCUUCCCUCAAACAGCAUAGAGAGCAAUGCACAAGCUGCAACUGGUACACACAGAUGUUGGAGGACCUUAGAAAACACCAUCUUUAAAUGGUAGUAAGUACUACAUUGCAUUUAUUGAUGAUUAUACCAGAUUUUGUUGGAUUUAUUUCCUCAAAUCCAAAUCUGAGGUUGCUAAUGUAUUUUGGAAAUAUAAAGCAUGGGUGGUGAAUCAAAGCAGUUGCAGGAUGCAAAAGAUAAGGUCAGAUAAUGGGAAAGAAUACACAAAUGAAAUUUUUGAUAAGUUCUGUGAAGAAGCGGGUAUUGAGCACCAACUCACAACACCUUACACUCCACAACAGAAUGGAGUAAGUGAGAGAAAAAAUCGAAGUAUUAUGGAGAUGACAAGGUUUAUGCUACAUGAGAAGGAGUUGCCAAAGAAAUUGUGGGCAAAGGCUGCAAACAUUGCAGUUUUUUUGUUGAAUAGGCUGCCAACUAAAGUUUUGUAGAAAAAAACUCCAUUUGAAGUCUGGUUUGGUUAUAAACCAGAUUUGCAGAAUCUAAGAACUUUUGGUUGUCUCUGUUUUUCUUAUGUGCCACAGGUGAAAAGAGACAAACUUGAUAAGAAGGUAGAACCAUGAGUUUUCAUUAGAUAUAACAACUCUUCCAAGGCUUACAGAAUUUUCCAACCACAAAAUGGAAAAAUUCUUGUAAGUAGAGAUGUCAAGUUCAUGGAGGAUAAACAAUGGAAGUGGGAGGAGUCAAUAAAGAUGCAACUGCCAGAGGUUCCGCAAUACUUUGAUGAAGACAUUGAUGAUGUCCCAGUUAGAGGUACAAGGUCCUUAUCUGAUGUUUAUGAAAGAAGCAAUGUUGCUGUUUUUGAGCCUGCAGAAUUUGAAGAGGUAAAGAAGGAUGACAAGUGGAUUGAAGCAAUGAAAGAGGAGCUUAGAAUGAUUGAAAAGAAUGACACCUGGGAGUUGGUGGACAGACCUUAACACAGAAAGGUCAUUGGAGUAAAAUGGGUUUAUAGAACCAAACUUAAUGCAGAUGGUUCUGUAAAUAAAUACAAAGCCAGAUUAGUUGUGAAGGGGUAUAGUCAAGUGUUUGGAGUGGAUUUCUCAAAAACUUUUGCUCCAGUAGCAUGCUUAGAUACAAUCAGAAUGUUGCUUGCUUUGACAACACAAAAGGGAUGGAAGACUUACCAGUUGGAUGUAAAAUCUGUUUUUUUAAAUGGUUAUCUUCAAGAGGAAAUUUAUGUAGAGCAGCCCGAGGGAUUCCAAGUCAAGGGACAGGAGGAGAAAGUUUACUUGUUGAAGAAGGCCUUAUAUGGUCUUAAACAGGCUCCUAGGGCUUGGUAUAGCAGGAUUGAUGAACAUCUUCAAAGUCAUGGAUUUGUUAAAAGUCCAAGUGAAGCUACAUUAUAUGUAAAAGGAAUAGAUGCUAACUUAAUUGUAGUUUCUGUUUAUGUUGAUGAUCUGCUUGUAACAGGUAGCAAUGAGAAACUAGUAAAAGAGUUUAAAGCUGAAAUGCUCAAAGUAUUUGAGAUGACAGACCUUGGCUCGAUGUCCUACUUUCUGGGUAUGGAGGUGAAGCAAGAUCAUGAUGGAGUCUUCAUAAGCCAAAAGAAGUAUGCAAAGGAAAUACUUAACAAAUUUCACAUGGAAGAUUGCAAAAGGACUAGCACACCAAUGAAUCAUAAGGAGAAAUUUAGCAAAGAUGAUGGAGUAGAAAAAAUGGAUGAAAGCCAAUACAGGAGCCUGAUUGGUUGCUUGAUGUAUCUUACAGCCACCAGACCAGACAUAAUGUUUUCAGUAAGCUUGCUUUCAAGAUUCAUGCAUUGUGCCAGUGAAGUGCAUUUUCAAGCUGCCAAAAGGAUUGUAAGAUAUAUCAAGGGCACAACAAAUUAUGGCAUUAAAAAUUCUUACUGUCAGAAUUUUAAACUUCAUGAUUAUUCUGAUAGUGAUUGGGUAGGUUCUAUUGAUGACAUGAGAAGUACAAUAGGAUUUUGUUUCAGCUUUGGAUCCGGAAUUUUUUCAUGGUCCUCAAAGAAGAAAGAUGUGAUAGCUCAAAGUACAGCAAAGGCAGAAUAUGUAGCAGCCAAUGCUACUGUAAAUCAAGCAAUUUGGAUUAGAAAAAUACUUGCAGAUCUACACAUGAAACAAAAUGAGCCAACAUAGAUUCAUGUAGAUAACCAAGCUGCAAUUGCAAUUUCAAAUGAUUAUGUUUUUCAUGGUAAGACUAAGCAUUUCAAGAUCAAGUUGUAUCACUUAAGAGAAUAACAAAAGGAUGGUGAAGUUAAAAUGCUUUAUUGCAAGACUGAGGAUCAAAUUGCAGAUGUGUUAACCAAGGCUCUACCAAAAGCUAGAUUUGAAACCUUAAGAAGCAAAAUAGGCCUCUGCAACUACUAAGGCAAGGAGGAGUGUUGGAAACGUGCCUUAGGUUGCUACAAUUCUGGGCAAACAAAAAAUUGCUGAAUAAUUGGUCAAUAGACCAAGUCUUUAGGAAAUAUUUUCUGCAUAUAUAUAUAUAUAUAUAUAUAUAUAUAUAUUUUGGCUUGAUAUUAGGAAUUGGUUAGACAUGGCUUGAAAUUAGAAAAUUCUCUUGACUUUCUAUUAUGUUUUAGCUCUAUAUAAUGAGUAAUGCAGUGAAUAAAAAUAUACUUCCAGAUACCAAGUUUUUUUUUCUUUACCGGAAAAGUUUUGUUUUUCCUUUGUUGUCAUAAAAAUUCUGCCCUGUUCUUGUGUCAUAUAUCAACAGCUAGUAAUUCAAUUAAAAUAGCUCUAAGUUUUGACUGUUUCUUAACUGUAAUGUCUUUCCUAUCUUAUUUUCAUUUUUGUGAUUUUACACCAUUGCUAACUAUCAUAAAUUUUGGUACCAUUACAAACACUCACUACUCACAAACCCAAAAGAAUAAUUACACCCAAAAAAUGGAGAAAAAUAACCACAAGUGUUUACAAACACUCACUACUCACAAACCCAAAAGAAUAAUUACACCCAAAAAAUAAUAAUUCUGUAACUCUAAAGACAACCUUACUUUUUCACUGAAAGAGUUGUACCACUUUUUUUCUUUUGACUCGGGAAUGAAUAGAAUGAGUAGAGGAGCUUCUAUUUAUAAGCUCCUACCACCACAAGCUUCCAUGUAGAUCACAUGCUAUUGCCAAAUAUAUGAAUGGCAAUAUACUAUUCUAAUUUGAUUUACACGUUAUUGUCAAAUAUGAAUGGCAAUACACGAUUUUGAUUUAUUUGUGUCCAUAAUUUCUUUUUAUUUAUAUCAUACACAUUUAUGAUUGUGAUAUUUUCUGUCUAUAUUUCAUGUCCUAAAAUCGAGGACUUUCCGACAAUAUUCUAAUAUGAUAAGAUUCAAAAACAAACAAUUUAACUUCUACUCUUAACAAACUUCUGUGACUAGUUCAAAUCAACAAAUAUUUGAAUAAUUCAAACUUCAAACUUUCCCGACAAUCUUACUCUAUUCAAAAUUAGAAAUGUGGAAUUCUAUACCCAGGACAAGAAUUUUCUCAGUUAAUGUAGAACUUCAUUCAAUCCAUAAACUACAUUGGUCCACAGCUGAGACCUUGAUAUGUGACAUAAUGCUUUGUAAUCUGUAUGGUGAAGAUUUGGUCAAUAUGUCACCUAGUUCCUUAACUAUAUAUUUCCAGUUUUUCCAGCAUUCUUGAAAACACCCAAGAAUUUUUCUCCAUGUUAAAUACAAUCUUGAAAUAUAAGCAAGCAUAUGAACACCACCAUUAUAAUCCAACAUUGCAUAAAGAAAAAUAGGUGACUAGGAGAAUGACUAGUAAUUCAAUUAAAAUAGCUCUAAGUUCUGACUGUCUCUUAACUGUAAUGUCUUUCCUAUCUUAUUCUCAUCUCUGUGAUUUUACACCAUUGCUAACUGUCAUAAAUUUUGGUACCAACAGUCACUACAGGAAAUACAUCGCUGUUACUUAGUGGUGGUUGAAGAUGUGCAGUCAUUUAUUGACUGGUACAACCAGCCGCUGGAAGUUGCCUUUUUUUUCUCUGCAGUGGAGCCAUCUCAUUUAUGUUAGAUGCCCCCUGCCCCAAAUGGGACAUCUUUUAUGCUGGCCCCAUCUGAAAAAAUGACCCAAAUGCUCCAGUGAACUACUUGUCAGCAUUUCCCAUUGUUGAAACUUUCAACAGAAUUAAAUUGAGGUAUGUGGAUAAUCACAAAGUAUCUUCUAUUUAACUACUUUUGUCAGAGUUCAAUGCAACUGUAAUCUGCAAAUUGUUAUUAUAUUCAUGGAGAGGCAUUUUGGGAUUUGGGCCUUCUUAGUUUUGUUUCUGGUACUGGAUUAUGGGUGUUUUGGAUGCUUAGAUGAAGAGAGGAUUGCUCUCUUAGAGCUGAAAGCUGCCUUCUGUUCUCCAGAUUGUUCUUCUCUUCCAUCUUGGGAAGAUGAAGAAAGCGACUGCUGUGGAUGGGAAAGGGUUGAGUGUAGCAACACAACAGGACGAGUACUCAAGCUUUUUCUCAACAAUACGAGGGAGUCAUCCCAGGAAGAUUUGUACCUCAAUGCCUCUUUGUUUAUUCCAUUUGUGGAGCUAAAAAUACUCAAUUUAUCUACUAAUAUGCUGGUCACUUUGGGUGAUGAUGAUGGUAUAAAUUUUUCCCACUAAGUUUCCAGGUCUUAGUUUUUUUCUUCCUUUUGAAUCUUUUCCCUCUUUCUUAUCCUGCAGGCUCUGAAAGACCAUUUAAGUUGAACAAUCUGGAGCUCCUUGAUUUAAGCAAUAAUACUUUGGACAUUAGCAUCCUCGCAUCUUUGACUGAACUCUCAUCACUUAAGUCUCUAUCUCUAGGUACCAACAUAUUGGAAGGAUCAAUUCAAGGUACAAUGGAUUUCUUUCUUCCUCUUUUAUUUUAUUUGAUUUUCCCUUCUUCCUUUUUGAAUAUCCUUCUCUGGAUGAUAUAUUUUUUGGUCCAUAGUUACUGUAAAGUUUCUUCCUAGGUGGACUUCUUAAGCUUAGUUCCCUUCAAUUUAAGGAAACCUGUUUCAAUUCUUGCAUUUUAAAGCAUAUAAGCCAUGUUUGGUAUUUGGAAAAUUUCACGGAAAGAAAAGAUAAAAUAAAAUUAUAAAAUUUUUCUGUUGUUUGAUUGUCCAUGAAAGAGUUGGAGGAAAGAAAACUUAAUUAUUGAGUAAUGCAUUUUCCCAAACUUUCUCCAACUUUUUCUCACCGUUUCCAUAUUAUCCAAACAGAAGAAAAAUAUUAUGUUGAACAUUUCUUUUUUCCUUUCCUUGAUACUUUCUAGGAACCAGAUAUAGCCUUAGAAAGUACCAUAGAUUCCUCAAAUGUACCUAUAACUCUGCUGAAUUGUAUUUCCCAAUGUUUUCAUUUCUUCUGGUGCUGUCUACCAUUUCAAUUUUGAUUGUCAAUAGGUUUGUAUUCAAGUUUUUCCAAUCAUUUUUCAUAUUCCAUGUGGCAUCCUAUUGAUCUGUAUUGCAAACACUGGUGAGCAUGUUGCCUUUUCUGUAUGAUUUCUUGUAUUGUCUUUUGCAGAGUUGGCUGCUUUGCACAACUUGGAGGAGUUGGAUUUGAGUAAGAAUGACUUGGAAAGCUUUAUAACAACCACAGGUAUACAAAGGGAAUUCUCUCCCAUUGCUUAGUGUAAGAAACUCUUUAAUUGGGUCUGUGAUGAUUUAUGAUAGCUCUAAUUUUCCAUCUUUGAUAUCAGGGCUCAAAAGUCUGAGAAAGUUGCGAGUUUUACACCUGGAGACAAAUGAUUUCAAUAUCAGCACCCUAAAAUCAUUGGGGAGGCUCUCAUUGCUUAAGGAGCUUUAUCUUGGAGGGAAUAAAUUGGAAGGUUCUGUUACACUCAGAGGUAAGCUUAAGUAUAAAUUUUGUAAUGCUGCUCUUUCUUUCUCUCUUGUAAUUGUUCCUUUUUCCCUUCCAGAGCUCAAUAAUUUGAGAAACCUGGAGGUUCUUGAUUUGUCUUCUACCAAUAUCAGCAGCAGCAUUCUGCAAAUAGUAGAAGUAAUGACAUCACUUAAAGCCUUAUCUUUGCGAAGCAAUGGAAUCAAUGGUUCACAGACCGCGCUUCAAGGUACCUUUUAUAAUAGUUUGAAUUUUGGUUCAAAACAUUUGCUGAUACUAAAUGGGAAAGAAUCAUUCAUUUUGCUCCCCCUUUUUUUUUUCUCAGGUUUGUGCAAACUUAAGAACCUUCAAGAGUUAGACCUCAGUGAUAAUGGGUUUGAGGGCAGUGUCUCUCCAUGUUUGGGAAACUUGACCUCCCUUCGGGCAUUGGAUCUAUCUAAAAAUCGAUUUUCAGGAAACCUAGAUUCAUCUCUCUUUGCUGGUCUCAUGAAACUUGAAUUCCUUUCCCUUUCACAUAAUGUCUUCCAAACUUUUCCUCCCAUUAGCUCCUUUGCUAAGCAUUCCAAGCUUGAGGUGCUUGAUCUCAUCUGUGGGAAUAACACAUUGUUGUUAGAAAGUGAAGAUCAAACUUGGGUUCCAUCCUUUCAACUCAAGGUGUUUCGUCUUUCAAGUUGCAUACUCAAAACAGGGUCCAUUCCAAGUUUUCUUCACUACCAGCAUGAUUUAAGAGUAGUUGAUCUCUCGAAUAGCAGUUUGGAAGAAGAUUUUCCCACUUGGCUGAUGAAGAACAAUACAAGAUUGGAAGAACUAAACUUGAAGAAUAACUCUCUUACAGGCUAUUUUCACCUUCCUUAUCGUCCAAAUAUAUUUACCUCUGCAAUAGAUAUUUCCAACAAUCUCUUGCAAGGCCAAAUGCCAUCAAACAUCAGCGUCUCUCUCCCAAAUCUCAUGUUCCUGAAUGUGUCGAGGAAUUCCUUUGAAGGUAGCAUUCCUUCCUUCGGUGGUAUGAGAAAGUUGCUCUUUUUGGACUUGUCUAACAACUUAUUCACGGGAGGAAUACCCGAGGACUUGGCCAUGGGUUGCCCCUCUCUGGAGUACCUUAUACUCUCAAAGAAUGAUUUGCAUGGCCAAAUGUUUCCAAGAGUUUCUAAUCUCCCUAGUUUGAGACAUUUGGAGUUGGAUGACAAUCACUUCUCUGGAAAAAUCCCAGACCUGUCCAACAGUUCUGGAUUGGAGAGAUUAUAUGUCAGUCACAACUCCAUAUCCGGUAAGCUGCCGGGGUGGAUUGGAAAUAUGUCAAAUUUGGCUGCACUAGUCAUGCCCAACAAUAGUCUUGAAGGACCCAUUCCUGUUGAAUUUUG